UAUUAUAUGUAGGUAGAUUUAUUGUAACUGUCAGUCAAGAAAUAAACGCAUAGUGAACGGUAAUUUGUUAACACUUCUUUCCGGAUUCCUUAUUGGCGACGAGAAUUGUGAUUGAAGAUGGUUGUCGAUCCAAAUAGAAGGGAAUCAGUUUAGGUCCCAAACUCUGAUAUUGACCAGAACGUAACCAACCGUAUUGGAGCAGGAUGGGCAAAAUGGAGACAAGUGAUGGGUGUAACGUGUGACCCUAAUAUUACCCUUAAAUUGAAAGGAAAAAUUUAUAAGGCAGUUAUCAGACCUGUCAUAUGUAUGGAUCUGAAUGUUGGGCGACGAAAAUGACGGACGAAAGGAAACUUCAUGCGACAGAGAUGCGAAUGCUGAGAUGGAUGUGCGGGUUAUAGGUUAGGCUGGUUCGGGCAUAUUUUAAGAAGAGAUGAAAAUCACGUCACUCAAAGGGCAUUAAAGAUGGAAAUAAAGGG